rnacentral:rRNA from 1 species
GACGAACGCUGGCGGCGUGCUUAACACAUGCAAGUCGAACGGAAAGGCCCUGCUUUUGUGGGGUUCUCGAGUGGCGAACGGGUGAGUAACACGUGAGUAACCUGCCCUUGACUUUGGGAUAACUUCAGGAAACUGGGGCUAAUACCGGAUAGGAGCUCCUGCUGCAUGGUGGGGGUUGGAAAGUUUCGGCGGUUGGGGAUGGACUCGCGGCUUAUCCGCUUGUUUGGGGAGUAGUGGCUUACCAAGGCUUUGACGGGUAGCCGGCCUGAGAGGGUGACCGGCCUCAUUGGGACUGAGAUACGGCCCAGACGGCUACGGGAGGCAGCAGGGGGGAAUAUUGCACAAUGGGCGGAAGCCUGAUGCAGCAACGCCGCGUGCGGGAUGACGGCCUUCGGGUGAUAAACCGCUUUCGCCGGUGACGAAGCGUGAGUGACGGUAAUGGGUAAAGAAGCACCGGCUAACUACGUG